AUUGAACGCUGGCGGCAGGCCUAACACAUGCAAGUCGAGCGGAUGACGGGAGCUUGCUCCUUGAUUCAGCGGCGGACGGGUGAGUAAUGCCUAGGAAUCUGCCUGGUAGUGGGGGACAACGUUUCGAAAGGAACGCUAAUACCGCAUACGUCCUACGGGAGAAAGCAGGGGACCUUCGGGCCUUGCGCUAUCAGAUGAGCCUAGGUCGGAUUAGCUAGUAGGUGAGGUAAUGGCUCACCUAGGCGACGACCCGUAACUGGUCUGAGAGGAUGAUCAGUCACACUGGAACUGAGACACGGUCCAGACUCCUACGGGAGGCAGCAGUGGGGAAUAUUGGACAAUGGGCGAAAGCCUGAUCCAGCCAUGCCGCGUGUGUGAAGAAGGUCUUCGGAUUGUAAAGCGCUUUAAGUUGGGAGGAAGGGCAGUAAGUUAAUACCUUGCUGUUUUGACGUUACCGACAGAAUAAGCACCGGCUAACUCUGUGCCAGCAGCCGCCGCCG
rnacentral:rRNA from 1 species